GUAAAACACCCCAUCUUAUAAGCAAAUUUAGUCUUGUUUCUAUAUAUCUUUUUCUUAAUGGUGCUUAAUAUAUCGUUACUGGUGUGAUUUGGAAUGAUCAACCAAAUCAUGAUACAUGGACAAAACACCAAUUAUCUACGAGGAGGCUGACAAAUGAUAUGGCUUCCCAAACAAUUACGAUGUCCAUAGCUAUGCUUGGAGACAAACUGAGCUAGACCACGACAUGUAAGAACUAAGAAGCGAUGUUAAGUUUGCCUCCAGUAACAACAUUCAAUAAACAACCAAAUCCUUUCGAG